UACGGGGGGGGCAAGCGUUGUUCGGAAUUACUGGGCGUAAAGGGCUCGUAGGCGGCCAACUAAGUCGGAUGUGAAAUCCCCAGGCUUAACCUGGGAACUGCAUCCGAUACUGGAUGGCUUGAAUUCGGGAGAGGGAUGCAGAAUUCCAGGUGUAGCGGUGAAAUGCGUAGAUAUCAGGAGGAACACCGGCGGUGUAGACGGCUCUCUGGACCGUAACUGACGCUGAGAUACGAAAGCGUGGGUAGCAAACAGG
rnacentral:rRNA from 1 species